UACGGAGGGGGCUAGCGUUGUUCGGAAUUACUGGGCGUAAAGCGCACGUAGGCGGCUUUGUAAGUUAGAGGUGAAAGCCCAGGGCUUAACCCUGGAAUUGCCUUUUAGACUGCAUCGCUUGAAUCAUGGAGAGGUCAGUGGAAUUCCGAGUGUAGAGGUGAAAUUCGUAGAUAUUCGGAAGAACACCAGUGGCGAAGGCGGCUGACUGGACAUGUAUUGACGCUGAGGUGCGAAAGCGUGGGGAGCAAACAGG
rnacentral:rRNA from 1 species